ACUCAAAGGAAUUGACGGGGGCCCGCACAAGCGGAGGAACAUGUGGUUUAAUUCGAUGAUACGCGAGGAACCUUACCUGGGCUUAAAUGUAGGUUGCAUGAGGUGGAAACACUUCUUUCCUUCGGGACUACUUACAAGGUGCUGCAUGGUUGUCGUCAGCUCGUGCCGUGAGGUGUCGGGUUAAGUCCCAUAACGAGCGCAACCCCUGUUGUCAGUUGCCAGCAUGUAAUGAUGGGGACUCUGACAAGACUGCCGGUGUAAACCGUGAGGAAGGUGGGGAUGACGUCAAAUCAGCACGGCCCUUAUGUCCAGGGCUACACACGUGUUACAAUGGCCGAUACAGAGGGCAGCCACCUGGCGACAGGGCGCUAAUCCCAAAAGUCGGUCUUAGUUCGGAUCGGAGUCUGCAACUCGACUCCGUGAAGCUGGAUUCGCUAGUAAUCGCAGAUCAGCCAUGCUGCGGUGAAUACGUUCCCGGGCCUUGUACACACCGCCCGU
rnacentral:rRNA from 1 species